GUAUGGUUGGGAGAUGUGCUGGAAGUACUU
rnacentral:piRNA from 1 species